rnacentral:rRNA from 1 species
UACGUAGGGGGCUAGCGUUGUCCGGAAUCAUUGGGCGUAAAGAGCGCGUAGGCGGCCAGAUAAGUCCGGUGUGAAAGUCACAGGCUCAACCUGUGAAUGCCGCUGGAAACUGUCUGGCUUGAGUCCGGAAGAGGAGAGUGGAAUUCCUGGUGUAGCGGUGAAAUGCGCAGAUAUCAGGAAGAACACCCGUGGCGAAGGCGGCUCUCUGGGACGGUACUGACGCUGAGACGCGAAAGCGUGGGGAGCGAACAGG